GAUGAACGCUGGCGGCGUGCUUAACACAUGCAAGUCGAACGGAUUUAUAAGACGGAAGUUUUCGGAUGGAAGUCUUGUGAAUUAGUGGCGGACGGGUGAGUAACGCGUGGGUAACCUGCCUCAUACCGGGGGAUAACACUUAGAAAUAGGUGCUAAUACCGCAUAAGCGCACAGUGCUGCAUGGCACGGUGUGAAAAACUCCGGUGGUAUGGGAUGGACCCGCGUCUGAUUAGCUUGUUGGUGAGGUAACGGCCCACCAAGGCGACGAUCAGUAGCCGGCCUGAGAGGGUGAACGGCCACAUUGGGACUGAGACACGGCCCAG
rnacentral:rRNA from 1 species